rnacentral:lncRNA from 1 species
AUAUAACACUGUGCCUGUGGCUCCCAUUCUCUUUUCCCAAGACAGGGGUUUCAGAGAAAAUUCCUCCUGCUCUUCUGGACAUCAUGUGUGCAGACAGUGGAUAAGAAGUGCUGCAGCUGCCUUGCUGUCAGCCUGUGGGUAAAGGCAGCGCAGGAGGAACAGAGCAUGAGGAGACAGAGCCAGCUGCUGAUGUUCAAAGGCCCUCUUCACUCUCAGUUGUGACCCAAAUUCCGGCAGUGGCAGAGGAUAGAGAAAUCCAGGACCUAUCUCAAUGGUAAAACUGACAAGGCUUGGUGGCUCCUCAAAUGUGAGCAAGAAGAUGAGGAUGUGUGCCACAGGUUUUGCACAACUCCUCAGAGCUUCUCUCCGCCUGUCUUCCAGCUCCAUGCGAAAGCCCUGUGGAAAGUUGCUUCUCCUAGUGUGGCUCGUGAGUCAGCAGAUAGCAUUGCCUGAGAACGUGCUAAAAAUGCAAGUUCUUAGCCCCACCCACACUCACUGAAUCAGAAUCUCUGCUGGUGGGUUGCUCUCCAGGUGAUGGUUUUGCACAUUCAGAUUUGAGGAUUGUGGAUGCCCAAGAUUGCAUAAGGGAGGAGUCUGGAUCCCUGAGUCACAGUUUGGAGGACAGCCACUCACGGGACCCAGCUGAACAGACCCUCUGGCAUGGGAUUUUAUGGAAGGGAAAAGGUUCAGAACUGGCCAGGUGAUGUUUUUAUUGGGAGGAAAGCUUGGAGAAUCAACAGGAGAAACAGAAAAGAACUUGCAGAACAACCCCUGGGCUACUGAGUUGAGAAAUUGGAGGCUUACUUUCCCACGCUGUCAAAUGGACUUCGGGAUUGACACAGCCUUGUUCAUGGAAAAAAAGACAAAGGAGAUUGGAGCCAUGGAUGGAGAAGAAGUUGAGUUGGAUCAGGCUGCAAGAUCGAAGGGGACAAGAAAGCUGAUGCUAAUGCCUACAGAUCCUUCAGAUCUGAGUCUAGGAGGAGCAUGGACUCGAUGCUUUUGUUCUUUUUCCAAUGACUUACACCUCGAGGGCCCAUAUCAAAGCCCCUUACCCAUGUCAUGGAGUCUCUUGGAGGAAGGAUUAUUGUGUUGGUCAGAGGAGAUAAAAAGAAAAGAUUUUUUUCAUGAAGAAAAGAAGAGCAGGAAUAUACUGGUGCACUUCCAAAACAGCAAAAAAUAAAGGGUCCUGCUUACUUACUUUUUUAACCUGGUGCAAACUCUUAUUUAUCCCCAAAACAAAUCUGCUUUGCUUCCUUUACUUCCCCCUGGAGGCUGACGCCCAAGGCCAUGGAAUGAAAGGACUUCCAGUGGAAAGCCAUAGGUAAG